UACAGAGGUGGCAAGCGUUGUUCGGAUUUAUUGGGCGUAAAGGGUUCGUAGGCGGACCGGAUAGUCAGAUGUGAAAUCCCACAGCUCAACUGUGGAACUGCAUUUGAAACUUCCGGACUAGAGUGUGAGAGGGGUAAAGGGAAUUCCCGGUGUAAGGGUGAAAUCUGCAGAGAUCGGGAGGAACACCAGUCGCGAAGGCGCUUUACUGGCUCACUACUGACGCUCAGGAACGAA
rnacentral:rRNA from 1 species